CUUCUUUAUCACCGAGUGCUUGCACUCACCGAUAAAGAGUUGAGUGGCGAACGGGUGAGUAACACGUGGGCAACCUGCCCAAAAGAGGGGGAUAACACUUGGAAACAGGUGCUAAUACCGCAUAACCAUAGUUACCGCAUGGUAACUAUGUAAAAGGUGGCUAUGCUACCGCUUUUGGAUGGGCCCGCGGCGCAUUAGCUAGUUGGUGGGGUAAAGGCUUACCAAGGCAAUGAUGCGUAGCCGAACUGAGAGGUUGAUCGGCCACAUUGGGACUGAGACACGGCCCAAACUCCUACGGGAGGCAGCAGUAGGGAAUCUUCCACAAUGGGCGAAAGCCUGAUGGAGCAACGCCGCGUGGGUGAAGAAGGUCUUCGGAUCGUAAAACCCUGUUGUUAGAGAAGAAAGUGCGUGAGAGUAACUGUUCACGUUUCGACGGUAUCUAACCAGAAAGCCACGGCUAACUACGUGCCAGCAGCCGCGGUAAUACGUAGGUGGCAAGCGAUAUCCGGAUUUAUUGGGCGUAAAGGGAACGCAGGCGGUCUUUUAAGUCUGAUGUGAAAGCCUUCGGCUUAACCGGAGUAGUGCAUUGGAAACUGGGAGACUUGAGUGCAGAAGAGGAGAGUGGAACUCCAUGUGUAGCGGUGAAGUGCGUAGAUAUAUGGAAGAACACCAGUGGCGAAAGCGGCUCUCUGGUCUGUAACUGACGCUGAGGUUCGAAAGCGUGGGUAGCAAACAG
rnacentral:rRNA from 1 species